rnacentral:rRNA from 1 species
AUGCCUCUUCCUAUUCCUUAUCAACCUUGGGAAGCCAUUAGCAUGGAUUUUGUACUUGGUUUGCCUAGAACUCAAAAUGGAAAGGAUUCCGUGUUUGUUGUUGUGGACCGAUUUUCUAAGAUGGCACGUUUCAUUCCAUGCAACAAGAUAGACGAUGCUUCACAUGUUGCCAAUCUCUUUUGUAGGGAAAUCUUGCGACUUCAUGGAGUACCAAAGAUAAUCGUCUCGGACCACGACGUCAAGUUCUUGAGUUACUUAUGGAAGACGCUAUGUGCCAAGCUCGGAAUCAAGCUCUUGUUCUCGUCCGCAUACCAUCCUCAAACUGACGGACAAACGGAGGUGAUGAACCGUACGCUCUCCACUCUACUUCGCGUGUUGAUCAAGAGGAACAUCAAGGAGAGGGAGGAGUGCCUACCCAUCGCCGAGUACGCCUACAACCGCGCAAGACAUUCGACUACUGGAAAGUCUCCCUUUGAGGUCGUCUACGGCUUCAACCCAUUGUCCCCAUUGGACAUUCUACCUCUACCACUACAAGAGUGCACCAACUUGGGCAGGAGCACUUUUGCCCUCCGGCGGAGCAAUUCCGCCGGGGAAACUUCCCUCUCGGAGGGGGAAAUCAUCAUCAUCAUCAUCAUCACCAACAACUCUCCCAUCUUGGGAAGGGCAAUCUGCAUCAACAUCUUCAACAUCACCAUCUCCUCUCAAACCCUAGUUCGCCUCUUGUGUUCAAUCUUUGUACCGGAACCUUAG